GACGAACGCUGGCGGCGUGCUUAACACAUGCAAGUCGAACGAGUGGCGAACGGGUGAGUAAGACGUGAGAAAACUGCCCUCUUUUUGGGAUAAACCUUGGAAACGAGGUCUAAUACCGGCUAAAGGGGGAUGGGCUCGGGGCCUAUCAGCUUGUUGGUGGGGUGAUGGCCUACCAAGGCGGUGACGGGUAGCCGGCCUGGGCGGGUGACAUGGCACAUUGGGACGGAGAUACGGCCCAGACUCCGACGGGAGGGGGAAGUGGGGGAUAUGGCACAAAGUGCGAUAGCGUGAUGCAGCGACUACGCGUGGGGGAUGAAGGCUUUCGGGUUGUAAACCUAUUGCGCUAUAGAACGGGUAGGUGGAGAAGAAGCGACGGCUAACUACGUGCCAGCAGCCGCGGUAAUAC
rnacentral:rRNA from 1 species